UACGUAGGCAGCGAGCGUUGUUCGGAAUUACUGGGCGUAAAGAGUGUGUAGGCGGUGCUCCCAGUCUGUUGUGAAAUCUCCCGGCUUAACUGGGAGGGUGCAGCGAAAACUAGAGUGCUAGAGGGUGGGAGAGGUAAGCGGAAUUCCUGGUGUAGCGGUGAAAUGCGUAGAUAUCAGGAGGAACACCUGUGGUGUAGACAGCUUACUGGACCACUUCUGACGCUGAGACACGAAAGCGUGGGUAGCAAACAGG
rnacentral:rRNA from 1 species